rnacentral:piRNA from 1 species
UGAGCUCUUUGCCACGCGCUUCCACACCCUU